rnacentral:rRNA from 1 species
GAUUUCUGGUUACAUGUCCUAGCCCGGGCACUUCGGUGACUGAGUGCUGGAACAUUUAGCCAUCCUUCCAGAGAGCCAUGAGUACCCUUUACUGGGCCGCUCGUGUUGCGAUCUGGAUCUUUUACUUUGAAAAAAUUAGAGUGUUUAAAGCAGGCUUACGCCUUGAAUACAUUAGCAUGGAAUAAUAACAUAGGACUUCGGUUCUAUUUUGUUGGUUUCUAGGACCUUAGUAAUGAUUGAUAGGGAUAGUUGGGGGUGCUAGUAUUCAGCGGCCAGAGGUGAAAUUCUUGGAUUCGCUGAAGACUAACUACUGCGAAAGCAUU